UAUUAUACGUUUACAUAUACAUAUACAUGUAAAAUUAUAAUAAAUUUAUAUUGUUAUUAUACGUAGGAUUUGCGAAUAUGCAAUCAUUUAUGUUCGCUGCUUGAGUAAUCGAUAUUACUUUGAAUAUUCCCAUUGGUUUUGGUAUCCUCUUUUAAUUCUGCGAUAUAUUUUAAUUCUUUAUCCCCAAGUACUAAACUGAAGAAAUUGCAGAGGAAAUCAUGCAUAACUCAUCGCAUACGUGGUUUCUCAAUAUUAAUAUACCUUGGUAUGGAGAUUAUUUUAUGGGGGUCAUGAAAAUAGUUAUGGGGGCGAAUACCGAUGUGAUCUCUCGAGAAUAUCAUGUCAUUUUUAUUCUCUGCUUUUACCAGUCUAUAAAUCCAUCGAAUAAAGAUAGUUGAUAUCUUUUCACACC
rnacentral:lncRNA from 1 species